CUCUCUCUCUCUCUCUCUCUCUCUCUGUAUAAUAGAUGGGUACGCGGCACAGAACAGUUUCUGUUCUGGGGUGCUUGUCGUUUAUAUAACGGUUGCAUCGAUGGAGUGAAGAAUGUGGAGUGUGUGUGUAUAUAUUUUAAACUUUUCUGGUUUGUAAGCACUUGUAUAAUUCUAUCAAAGUGAUCCAAAGGGUUGCAAUUUGCGUCUGUGGGAAUGUUGUCCUGCAACUGCAUGAGUGUUCUUGAUGGUAUAAAAGUUAUAAAUUAAUUAAAA
rnacentral:lncRNA from 1 species